AUUAAUUUGCUGUUAAUUACUCUCUUGUACUACUGUAGGUAUUGAUCUUAAGUGAGAAGCUUCAUUCUGUCAAUGCACAGUUUGAUCAGCUAAGAGCCAUACCUUCCAGGAUGCCAUCAAUACUCUCUUGUACUACUAUGGGCGCUAUUUAACUUCUGCUGUCCUGAACUACUGGGUGUCUGACAGAGAGGAUCAGCGUAUCAUAAGGUUCAGCAGAGGAUCUCAUCAAGCAAGAUCUUCGAAAUGUUGCUGAGGGUGUAGCUGCUUCUGUUCUUCAGCCGGCUCUUCCUUCUAAUCCUGAUUUAACAGUUUAUGAAGGAAAUGAGUCCACUCAUGAAGCAUACCAGGAUAAAAAUGUGCAGCAAGAAGCUGACACUGAGGUGAUUGAGCUCUUUUGUGUAAAAACAGUUUGUUUAUGAGUGUAAAAACAGUUUGUUUAUUACUUCUAAAAUGCUGUUUGCUGUUUAUGUUAUAUUAUCUUCGAUGAAUGACAAGUUUGUGUAUUAUUGCUG